CCCCUCUCAAGAUUGCACCUGGAGAGUUUCCAGUACUCUACCAGUCUCCAUUAGAGGAGAGAGAGUCUAGCAGAGGCAUACCCAUUUCGUGCCUAACUUGGUCAGUGGUUAGUGACUGGAAGACAAUCUGCUACAUGU